rnacentral:rRNA from 1 species
UACGAAGGGUGCAAGCGUUACUCGGAAUUACUGGGCGUAAAGCGUGCGUAGGUGGUGAGUUAAGUCUGUCGUGAAAGCCCCGGGCUCAACCUGGGAACGGCGCGCGAGACGGGGGGGCUGGAGUUCGGGAGAGGAGCGUGGAAUUCCCAGUGUAGAGGUGAAAUUCGUAGAUAUUGGGAAGAACACCGGUGGCGAAGGCGGCGCUCUGGACCGAGACUGACGCUGAGGCGCGAAAGCGUGGGGAGCAAACAGG